rnacentral:rRNA from 1 species
CCUACGGGGGGCAGCAGUGGGGAAUAUUGGACAAUGGGGGGAACCCUGAUCCAGCCAUGCCGCGUGUGUGAAGAAGGCCCUCGGGUUGUAAAGCACUUUCAGUGAGGAAGAACGCCUGGUGGUUAAUACCCAUCAGGAAAGACAUCACUCACAGAAGAAGCACCGGCUAACUCCGUGCCAGCAGCCGCGGUAAUACGGAGGGUGCGAGCGUUAAUCGGAAUUACUGGGCGUAAAGCGCGCGUAGGUGGCUUGAUAAGCCGGUUGUGAAAGCCCCGGGCUCAACCUGGGAACGGCAUCCGGAACUGUCAAGCUAGAGUGUAGGAGAGGAAGGUAGAAUUGCCGGUGUAGCGGUGAAAUGCGUAGAGAUCGGGAGGAAUACCAGUGGCGAAGGCGGCCUUCUGGACUGACACUGACACUGAGGUGCGAAAGCGUGGGUAGCAAACAGGAUUAGAUACCCUUGUAGUC